ensembl:snRNA U6 U6 spliceosomal RNA
GUACUUAUUUUGGCAGCACUUGUACUAACACUGGAACAAUACAGACAAGAUCCUCAUGGCCCCUGUGCAAGGGUGACACGCAAGUUCAUGGAGCAUUUCACACUUGA